rnacentral:misc_RNA from 1 species
AGUUAUUUGAAAUGGUUUGCCAGCACUUUUUUUCCCUACUCCAUAGUUUAAGAUAGCAUAUAAUUAAAAGUUGAAAACAAUGAAAUGGUUGUGGAACUAUUGGAGCACAUGUUUAUGUGCAAGCUUUCCUGCAUUGAACAAAGUUAGGCAUGUUAUUGUUUUCCUGGAUUAAUGAAUUUUUUUUUUAACAUUGUAAAGUGGUACUUGAGUCCAUAUAUAUUUUCUAUGGAAAUUGCAGCCAGAAAUUG